rnacentral:rRNA from 1 species
GAUGAACGCUGGCGGCGUGCCUAAUACAUGCAAGUCGAGCGAACGGACGAGAAGCUUGCUUCUCUGAUGUUAGCGGCGGACGGGUGAGUAACACGUGGAUAACCUACCUAUAAGACUGGGAUAACUUCGGGAAACCGGAGCUAAUACCGGAUAAUAUUUUGAACCGCAUGGUUCAAAAGUGAAAGACGGUCUUGCUGUCACUUAUAGAUGGAUCCGCGCUGCAUUAGUUAGUUGGUAAGGUAACGGCUUACCAAGGCAACGAUGCAUAGCCGACCUGAGAGGGAGAACGACCACACUGGAACUGAGAAACGGUACAGACUCCUACGGGAGGCAGCAGUAGGGAAUCUUCCGCAAUGGGGGAAAGCCUGACGGAGCAACGCCGCGUGAGUGAUGAAGGUCUUCGGAUCGUAAAGCUCUGUUAUUAGGGGAGAACAUAUGUGUAAGUAACUGUGCACAUCUUGACGGUACCUAAUCAGAAAGCCACGGCUAACUACGUG